rnacentral:rRNA from 1 species
UACGUAGGGUGCAAGCGUUGUCCGGAAUUAUUGGGCGUAAAGAGCUUGUAGGCGGUUUGUCGCGUCUGCUGUGAAAUUUCGGGGCUCAACCCCGAACUUGCAGUGGGUACGGGCAGACUAGAGUGGUGGUAGGGAGACUGGAAGUUCCUGGUGUAGCGGUGAAAUGCGCAGAUAUCAGGAGGAACACCGAUGGCGAAGGCGGCAUUCUGGACCGACAUUGACGCUGAGGAGCGAAGCCAGGGGAGCGAACAGG